AGAGUUUGAUCAUGGCUCAGAUUGAACGCUGGCGGCAGGCCUAACACAUGCAAGUCGAGCGGCAGCACGGGUACUUGUACCUGGUGGCGAGCGGCGGACGGGUGAGUAAUGCCUAGGAAUCUGCCUGGUAGUGGGGGAUAACGUUCGGAAACGAACGCUAAUACCGCAUACGUCCUACGGGAGAAAGCAGGGGACCUUCGGGCCUUGCGCUAUCAGAUGAGCCUAGGUCGGAUUAGCUAGUUGGUGAGGUAAUGGCUCACCAAGGCGACGAUCCGUAACUGGUCUGAGAGGAUGAUCAGUCACACUGGAACUGAGACACGGUCCAGACUCCUACGGGAGGCAGCAGUGGGGAAUAUUGGACAAUGGGCGAAAGCCUGAUCCAGCCAUGCCGCGUGUGUGAAGAAGGUCUUCGGAUUGUAAAGCACUUUAAGUUGGGAGGAAGGGCAUUUACCUAAUACGUAAGUGUUUUGACGUUACCGACAGAAUAAGCACCGGCUAACUCUGUGCCAGCAGCCGCGGUAAUACAGAGGGUGCAAGCGUUAAUCGGAAUUACUGGGCGUAAAGCGCGCGUAGGUGGUUCGUUAAGUUGGAUGUGAAAUCCCCGGGCUCAACCUGGGAACUGCAUCCAAAACUGGCGAGCUAGAGUAUGGUAGAGGGUGGUGGAAUUUCCUGUGUAGCGGUGAAAUGCGUAGAUAUAGGAAGGAACACCAGUGGCGAAGGCGACCACCUGGACUGAUACUGACACUGAGGUGCGAAAGCGUGGGGAGCAAACAGGAUUAGAUACCCUAGUAGUCC
rnacentral:rRNA from 1 species